GUAGGGUGCAAGCGUUAAUCGGAAUUACUGGGCGUAAAGCGUGCGCAGGCGGCUUUGCAAGACAGAUGUGGAAUCCCCGGGCUCAACCUGGGAACUGCAUUUGUGACUGCAAGGCUGGAGUGCGGCAGAGGGGGAUGGAAUUCCGCGUGUAGCAGUGAAAUGCGUAGAUAUGCGGAGGAACACCGAUGGCGAAGGCAAUCCCCUGGGCCUGCACUGACGCUCAUGCACGAAAGCGUGGGGAGCAAACAGGAUUAGAUACCCUGGUAGUCCACGCCCUAAACGAUGUCAACUGGUUGUUGGACGGCUUGCUGUUCAGUAACGAAGCUAACGCGUGAAGUUGACCGCCUGGGGAGUACGGCCGCAAGGUUG
rnacentral:rRNA from 1 species